AACGGCCGCGGUAUUUUGACCGUGCAAAGGUAGCGCAAUCACUUGUCUUUUAAAUAGAGACCUGUAUGAAUGGCAUAACGAGGGCUUAACUGUCUCCUCUUUCCCAUCAAUGAAAUUGAUCCCCCCGUGCAGAAGCGGGGAUUUAAACAUAAGACGAGAAGACCCUAUGGAGCUUAAGCCGCAAGAACAGAACAUGUCACUUCUUCUGAUCAAAAAAUGAAACCUAUUGAACCCUGUUCAAGUGUCUUUGGUUGGGGCGACCGCGGAGUACAAAAAACCCUCUAUGAGGAAUAAAGAAAUUUCUUUCCAUCUAAGGGCGACAGCCCUAAGAACCAGAACUUCUGACCCUUUUGAUCCGGCAAAGCCGAUCAACGAACCGAGUUACCCUAGGGAUAACAGCGCAAUCCUCUUUUAGAGCCCAUAUCGACAAGAAGGUUUACGACCUCGAUGUUGGAUCAGGACAUCCUAAU
rnacentral:rRNA from 1 species